rnacentral:rRNA from 1 species
GUGAAGCGGCAACAGCUCAAAUUUGAAAUCUGGCUCUUUUAGAGUCCGAGUUGUAAUUUGCAGAGGGCGCUUUGGCUUUGGCAGCGGUCCAAGUUCCUUGGAACAGGACGUCACAGAGGGUGAGAAUCCCGUACGUGGUCGCUGGCUAUUGCCGUGUAAAGCCCCUUCGACGAGUCGAGUUGUUUGGGAAUGCAGCUCUAAAUGGGAGGUACAUUUCUUCUAAAGCUAAAUAUUGGCCAGAGACCGAUAGCGCACAAGUAGAGUGAUCGAAAGAUGAAAAGCACUUUGGAAAGAGAGUCAAACAGCACGUGAAAUUGUUAAAAGGGAAGCGCUUGCAGCCAGACUUGCUUACAGUUGCUCAUCCGGGCUUUUGCCCGGUGCACUCUUCUGUAGGCAGGCCAGCAUCAGUUUGGGCGGUAGGAUAAAGGUCUCUGUCACGUACCUCCCUUCGGGGAGGCCUUAUAGGGGAGACGACAUACUACCAGCCUGGACUGAGGUCCGCGCAUCUGCUAGGAUGCUGGCGUAAUGGCUGUAAGCGGCCCGUCUUGAAACACGGACCAAGGAGUCUAACAUCUAUGCGAGUGUUUGGGUGUCAAGCCCGAGCGCGUAAUGAAAGUGAACGGAGGUGGGAACCCGCAAGGGUGCACCAUCGACCGAUCCUGAUGUCUUCGGAAGGAUUUGAGUAAGAGCAUGGCUGUUGGGACCCGAAAGAUGGUGAACUAUGCUUGAAUAGGGUGAAGCCAGAGGAAACUCUGGUGGAGGCUCGCAGCGGUUCUGACGUGCAAAUCGAUCGUCAAAUUUGGGCAUAGGGGCG